rnacentral:rRNA from 1 species
AGUUUGAUUCCUGGCUCAGGACGAACGCUGGCGGCGCGCCUAACACAUGCAAGUCGAACGAGCGAGAGAGAGCUUGCUUUCUCGGAGGGUGGGAAGGGUGAAACACGGUGGGAACCCCUUAAAGGGGGGCACAAAGUGAAAAAUUUUUUUAACCCCAAAACCCCCGGGGUUGGAUUGCCAAAAGGAAAAAAGCCAAUCCCUUUUGAAUGCCUUCGUUCCAAUAACUUAGUGGGGAGGAACCGCCCCCAAAGGGGAAAUAUGGUACCGGGAUGGAAGGUUGAACGCCCACAUGGGGAUUGAGACAGGGCCCAGAUUUCUUAGGGGAGGCACCAGUGGGGAAUUUUGCACAAUGGGGGAAACCCUGGAUGCAGGGACGCCGCGUGGAGGAAGAAGGUCUUCGGAUUGUAAACUCCUGUUGUUGGGGAAGAUAAUGACGGUACCCAACAAGGAAGUGACGGCUAACUACGUGCCAGCAGCCGCGGUAAAACGUAGGUCACAAGCGUUGUCCGGAAUUACUGGGUGUAAAGGGAGCGCAGGCGGGAAGACAAGUUGGAAGUGAAAUCCAUGGGCUCAACCCAUGAACUGCUUUCAAAACUGUUUUUCUUGAGUAGUGCAGAGGUAGGCGGAAUUCCCGGUGUAGCGGUGGAAUGCGUAGAUAUCGGGAGGAACACCAGUGGCGAAGGCGGCCUACUGGGCACCAACUGACGCUGAGGCUCGAAAGUGUGGGUAGCAAACAGGAUUAGAUACCCUGGUAGUCCACACUGUAAACGAUGAUUACUAGGUGUUGGAGGAUUGACCCCUUCAGUGCCGCAGUUAACACAAUAAGUAAUCCACCUGGGGAGUACGACCGCAAGGUUGAAACUCAAAGGAAUUGACGGGGGCCCGCACAAGCAGUGGAGUAUGUGGUUUAAUUCGACGCAACGCGAAGAACCUUACCAAGUCUUGACAUCCUGCGACAGACGUAGAAAUAUGUUCUUCCUUCGGGACGCAGAGACAGGUGGUGCAUGGUUGUCGUCAGCUCGUGUCGUGAGAUGUUGGGUUAAGUCCCGCAACGAGCGCAACCCUUAUGGUCAGUUACUACGCAAGAGGACUCUGGCCAGACUGCCGUUGACAAAACGGAGGAAGGUGGGGAUGACGUCAAAUCAUCAUGCCCUUUAUGACUUGGGCUACACACGUACUACAAUGGCGUUAAACAAAGAGAAGCAAGACCGCGAGGUGGAGCAAAACUCAGAAACAACGUCCCAGUUCGGACUGCAGGCUGCAACUCGCCUGCACGAAGUCGGAAUUGCUAGUAAUCGUGGAUCAGCAUGCCACGGCGAAUACGUUCCCGGGCCUUGUACACACCGCCCGUC